GUGCUUGCUUCAGAAGAACAUAUUCUAAAAUUGGAACAAUCCAGAGAAGAUUAGCAUGGCACCUGAGCAAGGAUGACGACCAAAUUCAUGAAGCGUUCCAUGUUUUU